ACUUCAGCACACUCCCGCUACUUCUCUGAUGUUUAAGCUAAUUUCGCAGCCAAGCAGUGCAGUAAAUGCACGAGGCUGCACAAGGGCUUAUACUAACAGCACAAAUAUCACAUCCCACGCGUUUCGUUGACAUGAGCAAUAUGAACGACAACAUCCGCUGGGAAAAUACGGUUGCGGCUCCAUAUGUAUGGAACAGAUGUAUUAUAGAUGUACAUGUAUUUAGAUCUUCUAUAAGAGGAUCAGGAAUCAAGUAGACUCAGGGAUUCAGAGAUGUAAACUCGAUGUAUAAGAUCCUACUUCAAGUAUUUGCACGCAAAAAGAAAAACAAAAACAAAAAACAAAAACAAAAACCAAAAAAAAAAAACCAAAAAAAAAACCCAAAGAAACUAUUCGUUGAGUAGCUCACGUCUUACGUAGAAACAAGUGAUAUGGUGAUCUUGAUGGAAUAAGAAAGACGUUGUGACGUUUAUGCAUUUCCCAAGUUUAUUAAUGCUGCAGCUAAGUAAAAUGGCUGUUUCAAACCGAAAACGAUCUGAAUCGAGGCUUUCGACUCGUUGUAAGGGACAAUCCCAACCAGCCUACAUGUAGAAGGAAGGACAUGUAGAAGAAAAAGAAGGAAGUGAGCGGAGGAGGAUGAAUAUAACGAACGAGAUAACAACUCGGGCUGUAACUUUUGAGCCCGAGUCAGGUGCGUGUGAACGAUGCUGAGAGAACGUCUGCUACGAAUGAUAGUUUUGACACAGGGCACCUCUAAGAUGACCGCCAG
rnacentral:lncRNA from 1 species